rnacentral:rRNA from 1 species
UACGGGGGGGGUAAGCGUUGUUCGGAAUUACUGGGCGUAAAGGGCGCGUAGGCGGCCCGCUAAGUCGAACGUGAAAUCCCCGAGCUCAACCCGGGAACUGCGUCCGAUACUGGAAGGCUUGAAUCCGGGAGAGGGAUGCGGAAUUCCAGGUGUAGCGGUGAAAUGCGUAGAUAUCUGGAGGAACACCGGUGGCGAAGGCGGCAUCCUGGACCGGUAUUGACGCUGAGGCGCGAAAGCCAGGGGAGCAAACGGG